rnacentral:rRNA from 1 species
CAUUCGAGUGUCGGAUACUGGGCGUAAGAGCUCGUAGGCGGUUUGUCGCGUCGUCUGUGAAUCCCGCAGCUCAACUGCGGGCUUGCAGGCGAUACGGGCAGACUCGAGUACUGCAGGGGAGACUGGAAUUCCUGGUGUAGCGGUGAAAUGCGCAGAUAUCAGGAGGAACACCGGUGGCGAAGGCGGGUCUCUGGGCAGUAACUGACGCUGAGGAGCGAAAGCGUGGGUAGCGAACAGGAUUAGAUACCCUGGUAGUCCACGCCGUAAACGGUGGGCGCUAGGUGUGGGUUUCCUUCCACGGGAUCCGUGCCGUAGCCAACGCAUUAAGCGCCCCGCCUGGGGAGUACGGCCGCAAGGCUAAAACUCAAAGGAAUUGACGGGGGCCCGCACAAGCGGCGGAGCAUGUGGAUUAAUUCGAUGCAACGCGAAGAACCUUACCUGGGUUUGACAUGUACCGGACGACUGCAGAGAUGUGGUUUCCCUUGUGGCCGGUAGACAGGUGGUGCAUGGCUGUCGUCAGCUCGUGUCGUGAGAUGUUGGGUUAAGUCCCGCAACGAGCGCAACCCUUGUCCUGUGUUGCCAGCACGUGAUGGUGGGGACUCGCAGGAGACUGCCGGGGUCAACUCGGAGGAAGGUGGGGACGACGUCAAGUCAUCAUGCCCCUUAUGUCCAGGGCUUCACACAUGCUACAAUGGUCGGUACAGAGGGCUGCGAUACCGUGAGGUGGAGCGAAUCCCUUAAAGCCGGUCUCAGUUCGGAUCGGGGUCUGCAACUCGACCCCGUGAAGUCGGAGUCGCUAGUAAUCGCAGAUCAGCAACGCUGCGGUGAAUACGUUCCCGGGCCUUGUACACACCGCCCGUCACGUCAUGAAAGUCGGUAACACCCGAAGCCCGGUGGCCUAACCCCUUGGUGGGAGGGAGCCGUCGAAGGUGGGAUCGGCGAUUGGGACGAAGUCGUAACAAGUAGCCGUACCGGAAGUGCGCUGAUCCACCUCCUUCUAGAACAACUUGGAAGAAA